rnacentral:rRNA from 1 species
UACGUAGGGUGCGAGCGUUAAUCGGAAUUACUGGGCGUAAAGAGUGCGUAGGCGGCUUGUGAAGUCAGAUGUGAAAGCCCCGGGCUUAACCUGGGAAGUGCGUCUGAAACUGGCAGGCUAGAGUUUGGUAGAGGGGGGUAGAAUUCCUGGUGUAGCAGUGAAAUGCGUAGAGAUCAGGAGGAACACCGAUGGCGAAGGCAGCCCCCUGGGCUAAAACUGACGCUCAGGCACGAAAGCAUGGGGAGCAAACAGG